rnacentral:rRNA from 1 species
UACGGAGGGUGCAAGCAUUAAUCGGAUUUAUUGGGCGUAAAGGGCGCGUAGGCGGGGAUGUAAGUCAGAUGUGAAAUCCUGGGGCUCAACCUCAGAACUGCAUUUGAAACUGUAUCUCUAGAGGGUAGGAGGAGAAAACGGAAUUCCACAAGUAGCGGUGAAAUGCGUAGAUAUGUGGAAGAACACCGGUGGCGAAGGCGGUUUUCUAUCUUAUUCCUGACGCUGAUGCGCGAAAGCAAGGGGAUCAAACAGGG